rnacentral:rRNA from 1 species
GGAGUUUGGACCGUGUCUCAGUUCCAAUGUGGGGGACCUUCCUCUCAGAACCCCUACUGAUCGUCGACUAGGUGGGCCGUUACCCCGCCUACUAUCUAAUCAGACGCAUCCUCAUCCAUCGCCGAUAAAUCUUUACUGUGUUCGAGAUGUCUCAAUCACAGACCAUCAGGUAUUAAUCUUUCUUUCGAAAGGCUAUCCCUGAGCCAUGGGUAGAUUGGAUACGUGUUACGCACCCGUGCGCCGGUCGCCAUCUAUCAAAGCAAGCUUCGAUAAUGCUGCCCCUCGACUUGCAUGUGUUAAGCCUGUAGCUAGCGUUCAUC